GGAAAUCAACGGAUGCAGGUCCUGGCAGCAAAGGAUCUGAGAUGCUGAGAAGGCUGAUGGACAAAGCCAGGGAAAGUCAGAGGCAGAAAAAGUGUCUGGCAGGAGUUUGGCAUCCAGCUCCCUACGUGGUCCUUCUAAUCGCCUGUCAGCCUUUUUCACAUGACGCCUCAGAUGCUUCACGCCAUGAUUAAAGACAAAUAUAUAUACCCCGAAUCUCAAUUGCUGGAUCAUAUAAAAAUGAGGACCUAAUAUUGAUGGUGUCACAGAAGCCGGAGACAUCAAACUAGACCAAUGACUCAUUGCAAUGGACAUUUGCAAGUGAAGUUGUAUGGACAGAGGGGUAUACUGUGGAAUACACUGUGACACA